GCCGUCAAACCACCGCUCCACUAGUCCAAUCGCAUGCAGAAGAAACUCGAUAUGGGUCGUAGCGUGCUGCUAAAUAGACAGAAAAUAUCUGCGCUAAUCAGCCACUGACUGGCGCGUUUCCUGAUUAAGACAAAGGUGAUGGAAAGACAGCAUAUCUAUGUUUUGAUUGUCACAUAAAUGGCCAAUUUGAGGUCCAGCAUAAAGGCGGUGCUCUGUGAUAAGUAGGUCCCAUCCCUGAAGCAUUCGUAGAAUUUGCGAUUCAAAGAUAAGAUAAUGGGAUUGCGGUGUGCCUUGAGAACCGAGAAGGUAAAGUAGCAAGUGGACAUUUAUCACGCAUAACAAAAUUAAAGUUCUAAAACUUCAUCCCAGGUACUGGUUCAGGUUGCAAUACUAAAAUAAACUGAGUCGCUCACGAAUCCGUGACGCUUAGAAAGACAAACACAUAUCAAGAUGCAGACCUGACGCGUAAUUGUAAAUUGACACCAAGCAACAAGAUGGCAACAGAUCAUUAAUCAUUAUUGUUUGUCGUGCACAACAACUGAUGAAAUCCUGCUAACAAGGUUCUAGCCGGUAAAUUUUUAAUUCAGUCGUGGACCUCCAUUAGUACGAUGCACUUCCUUGCGUUAAGAAACAAAAAAUUGAAUUGCAUGAUGGAAACAAAUGCCUGCACGGAAGACCGGGUGAAGACAAAGGAACGGCAACGCCCUAGAGAACAGACACUCUUUCAUUCGUUUCGUGGCGUCUUUACUUCGGGUUGUAUUCACUGCUAUUUAGAGCUGAAGUUGGCCAACCACUCGGCUCGCCAACUUAUUCCUCAAGAUUGUGCGACAACAUAUUCCACUCCAGGGCUAGUCUAUUGACGACUUUAACACUUCAGUGGAAGGAAGUAAUCGAUUGAGUCUAUUUCAUUCAACGUUCGGAAGCUAAAUCUAUUUGUGGCGGCAUAGCGUGUGGACCAAGGUACCUACUUUAGUAAUCACUGUAUUCCACGCGCCUUCGAAACACUACAUGGUUUUACGAUCGUGAUUUUUGCGUCGAAAAGUUCAUUAAAACAUUUCGAUAUUUCCAAGUGAA